rnacentral:tRNA from 1 species
GGGGUGUAGCUCAGCUGGGAGAGCACCUGCCUUGCAAGCAGGGGGUCAUCGGUUCGAUUCCGUUCACCUCC